GCCUGGGUGGCUCAGUCGGUUGAGCAUCUGACUUCAGCUCAGGUCAUGAUCUCAGAGUCUGUGAGUUCGAGCCCCGCAUCGGGCU
rfam:Felis catus isolate Cinnamon breed Abyssinian chromosome A2, whole genome shotgun sequence.